rnacentral:lncRNA from 1 species
GUUUCAAAAUCAACUUGAAAAGAAUAUAGUCAACACAGAAAGGAUGCUUAAAAGACACGAGCAAUCUAUCCAAGAGAUAUGGGAUGUCAUAAAAAAACAAACCUGAGAGUCAUUGGGAUAGAAGAAGGCAUAGAGGUUCAAACCAAAGGAAUGAACAAUCUAUUGAAUGAAAUAAUCCUAGAAAACUUCCCAGAUAUGAAAGAUGGAAUGGAUUGCCAAAUCCUGGAAGCCUACAGGACCCCAAACAUUCAAAACCGUAAUAGACCAACUCCAAGACACAUAAUUAUAAAGAUAUCCAACAUACAGAACAAGGAAAGAAUAUUAAAAGCCACGAGAGAAAGGAGGCAGAUUACAUUCAGGGGUAAACCAAUUAGGUUAACGGCUGAUUUUUCAUCACAGACGUUAAAAGCGAGAAGAUCCUGGAACAACGUAUUUCAAACACUAAAAAAUAAUGGAUUCCAACCAAGAAUACUGUAUCCAGCAAAAUUAAGCUUCAGAUUUGACAAUGAAAUUAAAAUAUUUCAUGAUAAACAAAAGUUAAAAGAAUUUGCAGCCAGAAAACCAGCACUGCAAGGCAUCUUGAGCAAAACACUACAAGAAGAAGAAUUGAAAAACAGCACCCAAAACUAACAGUGGGAGGUAACUCAGUAAAGGGAAGGAAAAAAAAAUAACCAAAAAGGAAAAACUAGCCAUAUCAAAAUAAAUAAAUAAACAAGCAUGACGGGUAGUACUAACCAUAUUUCAAUAGUAACCUUAAACUUUAAUGGCUUAAAUUCACCAAUUAAGAGACAUAGGCUAAUAACCUGGAUUAAAAAAAACAAAUCCAACAAUAUGCUGCCUUCAGGAGACUCAUAUGAUAGGAAAAGACAUACACAGACUAAAGGUGAAAGGUUGGGAAAAAUCAUACCACUCACAUGGUCCUCGGAAGCAAGCAGGAGUGGCCAUACUCAUAUCGAAUAAAAUCAACUUCAAACCUAAGUUAAUGAAAAGGGAUAAAGAAGGACACUAUAUACUGUUAAAAGGAACCAUCCACCAACAAGACAUAACAAUUAUCAAUAUAUAUGCACCAAACAAUGGUGCUGCAAUGUUCAUAAAACAAACUUUCCUCAAGUUCAAGAGACACAUAGACCACAACACAAUAAUUAUGGGUGACUUCAACACACCGCUCUCUCCAUUGGACAGAUCCUCCAGACAAAAGCUGAAUAAAGAAACUAUAGAACUCAAUAACACAAUCAAUAACCCAGACUUAACCGACAUAUAUAGAAUAUAUCAACCAUCAUCAAGUGGAUACACGUUCUUCUCAGCAGCACAUGGAUCCUUCUCAAAGAUAGACCAUAUAUUAUGCCAUAAGACAACUAUUAGUAAAUAUAAAGGUGUGGAGAUAAUACCAUGCAACUUAUCUGAUCAUAAUGGAAUGAAACUGGAAAUCAAUGAUAAAAGAAGGAAGGAAAAAUCCUGCAUCACCUGGAAAAUGAACAAUAUGUUACUGAAUGAUCAAUGGGUUACAGAAGACAUAAAGGAGGAAAUCAAAAAAUU